GCCCAGAUGGCGGAAUUGGUAGACGCGCUAGACUCAAAAUCUUGUUUCGGCAACGGAGUGCAGGUUCGAUUCCUGUUCUGGGCACCU
rnacentral:tRNA from 1 species